rnacentral:pre_miRNA from 1 species
AGUGAGAUUGUUGGGUCAUAUGGUAAGUGGAUGCUGAACUUUAUGAGAAACUGCCAAAGUGUUUUCCAGAGUGACUGUAUCAUUUGGAUAUUCCUAUCAGCAAU